UGGGGAAUAUUGCACAAUGGAGGGAACUCUGAUGCAGCGACGCCGCGUGAACGAAGAAGGCUUUCGAGUCGUAAAGUUCUUUUAUAUGGGAAGAUAAUGACGGUACCAUAAGAAAAAGCCCCGGCUAACUACGUGCCAGCAGCCGCGGUAAUACGUAGGGGGUUAGCGUUGUCCGGAAUCACUGGGCGUAAAGGGUUCGCAGGCGGAAAUGCAAGUCAGGUGUAAAAGGCAGUAGCUUAACUACUGUAAGCAUUUGAAACUGCAUAUCUUGAGAAGAGUAGAGGUAAGUGGAAUUUUUAGUGUAGCGGUGAAAUGCGUAGAUAUUAAAAAGAAUACCGGUGGCGAAGGCGGCUUACUGGGCUCAUUCUGACGCUGAGGAACGAAAGCGUGGGUAGCAAACAGG
rnacentral:rRNA from 1 species